GGACCCGACUGCUAUCAGAGUGGGAAUAAGCCAUGCGAGUCAACAUAGCAAUAUGUGGCAUACGGCUCAGUAACACGUAGUCAACAUGCCCAGGGGACGUGGAUAACCUCGGGAAACUGAGGAUAAACCGCGAUAAGUCACUACUUUUGGAAUGGGUAAUGACUCAAAUUUACAUGGCCCCUGGAUUGGACUGCGGCCGAUCAGGCUGUUGGUGAGGUAAUGGCCCCCCAAACCUGUAACCGGUACGGGCUUUGAGAGGAGGAGCCCGGAGAUGGGCACUGAGACAAGGGCCCAGGCCCUAUGGGGCGCAGCAGGCGCGAAACCUUUGCAAUAGGGGAAAGCCUGACAGGGUUACUUUGAGUGAUUUCCGUUAAGGAGAUCUUUUGGCACCUCUAAAAAUGGUGCAGAAUAAGGGGUGGGCAAGUUUGGUGU
rnacentral:rRNA from 1 species